rnacentral:rRNA from 1 species
UGCGCAGGCGGGAUGUUAAGUCGGCGGUGAAAUUUUGCAGCUCAACUGUAAAAGUGCCUUCGAUACUGGCUUUCUUGAGUGUGGAUGAAGUAGGCGGAAUUUGUGGUGUAGCGGUGAAAUGCUUAGAUAUCACGAGGAACUCCGAUUGCGCAGGCAGCUUACUAAACCACUACUGACGCUCAUGCACGAAGGGCUGGGGAUCAAACA